CCUACGGGUGGCUGCAGUGGGGAAUAUUGGACAAUGGGCGAAAGCCUGAUCCAGCCAUGCCGCGUGUGUGAAGAAGGCCUUCGGGUUGUAAAGCACUUUCAGUGGGGAAGAAAGCCUUGGGGCUAAUACCCUCGAGGAAGGACAUCACCCACAGAAGAAGCACCGGCUAACUCCGUGCCAGCAGCCGCGGUAAUACGGAGGGUGCGAGCGUUAAUCGGAAUUACUGGGCGUAAAGCGCGCGUAGGCGGUCUGAUAAGCCGGUUGUGAAAGCCCCGGGCUCAACCUGGGAACAGCAUCCGGAACUGUCAGGCUAGAGUGCAGGAGAGGAAGGUAGAAUUCCCGGUGUAGCGGUGAAAUGCGUAGAGAUCGGGAGGAAUACCAGUGGCGAAGGCGGCCUUCUGGACUGACACUGACGCUGAGGUGCGAAAGCGUGGGUAGCAAACAGGAUUAGAUACCCCUGUAGUC
rnacentral:rRNA from 1 species